AGGCGAUGAUGACAAAAAAACAUUUCUCGAUACUGAAACUUACUCGAGGGACCAAAACCACUCUUGUAAUCUUUCUUGAUGUUUGUUGUUUGUGCGUGUCUGAGCCUC
rfam:Brassica rapa chromosome A6, whole genome shotgun sequence.